ensembl:snoRNA
CUCCAUGUAUCUUUGGGACCUGUCAUCUGUGGCAGUCUCCCUUCCUAGCCAUGGAAGAGCAUUUUCUUGUUUAUUGGCAAAGCUGUCACCAUUUAAUUGGUAUCAGAUUCUGACUUGCACAAGUAACAUUC